rnacentral:rRNA from 1 species
UACGUAGGGUGCGAGCGUUGUCCGGAAUUAUUGGGCGUAAAGAGCUUGUAGGCGGUUUGUCGCGUCUGCCGUGAAAACCCGAGGCUCAACCUCGGGCCUGCAGUGGGUACGGGCAGACUAGAGUGCGGUAGGGGAGAUUGGAAUUCCUGGUGUAGCGGUGGAAUGCGCAGAUAUCAGGAGGAACACCAAUGGCGAAGGCAGAUCUCUGGGCCGUAACUGACGCUGAGGAGCGAAAGCAUGGGGGAGCGAACAGG